AUGAAUGCCCUUGUCUGUGCCCCAUUUCGUGCAAUCCCUUUAGCCCACGACUCUACUGGCGUCCCUGCCAUCUGGUCCUUGGCUAUAGAGAGGAAUUUUUCUUGUAUAUGUGUCUCCCUAGCAACGAGUAUGCAGUUGAUAUGGAAAGUAAGCAGUUGCCCUAGCAACAGAGUUACUGAUGUGGGAGAUCCUCGCUUGCAGGGAAAAGGACUCUGCUGGUUCAAUGCUUUAUCUCACCCCCUACAUUUUGUUAGAGCCAGGUGGUGCCCACACAUCACAGUCCAGCUGUGCAAAAGUGUGCAUCUUUUACCAGGUAAUUCUGUUUGUCCAUUUAAUUGAGUAUUUUUUUUUACUCAUACAUGCAGCAGUUCCUCUCCAGGGCGUUCAGCACAGAAUAUAUUUUUCCCCAUCAGCAGUUAAAGAAUUGGGAAUGCCAAGGAUUGAGCCUGGGUCCCUGUGCAUGUGAAACAUGCUCUCCCACUGGAUUUGGGUCCCUACCUAUGGUCCAUUGCUGUUGCUCUAUUGGAGUAUCUGGUGUCAUAGCUUAAUCACUUCGGUUUGUGCUUCUGUGAAAUCCUUUCCUGUGGUUCUUUACUAGAGGUUAUACAAUUGGUGUUUGUCAUUUUCCUGCAGCCCUGAUCAGCGGUCAGCUUUGGAGGAGAAUCACUUUGAAGAGAAAGUUGAGUUGGAGUCUCCUCUAAAACAUCUCUAAAAUUAGAGCCAGUGUGAUGUAGUGAAUAGAAUGUUGCAGAGGGACUCAGGAGAACUUGGUACAGAUUCCUACUUGGCCAUGAAGCUCCCUGGGUAACCUCGUGUCAGUCACACUGUCUCUUCCUGACUUAUCGUACGGGGUUAUUGUGAGGAUAAAGUGAAGAGAUGGAGAAUCACGUACAUCCUCUUGGGUGUACUGGAGAACACACACACAUACAGUCAUGGCCAAAAAUAUUGGCACCCUUGCAAUUCUGUCUGAAAAUGCAACCCUUCUCUCAGAAAAUUGUUGCAGUUGCAAAUGUUUUGGUACUCACAUGUUCAUUUCUUUGGUUUGUGUUGGAACAGCNNNNNNNNNCGCACACACACACACACACACACACACACACACACACACACACACACACACACACAAACCAGAGGAAAAAAAGUCAAAUAUGAUACAGUCCCACACAGAAACUCAAAAAUAUAAUGGCCAAAAUUAUUGGCAUCCUUAACUUAAUGUUUGGUUGCACUCCCUUUGGAAAAAAUAACUGAAAUCA
rnacentral:lncRNA from 1 species